rnacentral:piRNA from 1 species
UCAAUUUUUCUUCCAAGUCAA